rnacentral:rRNA from 1 species
GAUGAACGCUGGCGGCGUGCCUAAUACAUGUAAGUCGAGCGAACGGACGAGAAGCUUGCUUCUCUGAUGUUAGCGGCGGACGGGUGAGUAACACGUGGAUAACCUACCUAUAAGACUGGGAUAACUUCGGGAAACCGGAGCUAAUACCGGAUGAUAUUUUGAACCGCAUGGUUCAAAAGUGAAAGACGGUCUUGCUGUCACUUAUAGAUGGAUCCGCGCUGCAUUAGCUAGUUGGUAAGGUAACGGCUUACCAAGGCAACGAUGCAUAGCCGACCUGAGAGGGUGAUCGGCCACACUGGAACUGAGACACGGUCCAGACUCCUACGGGAGGCAGCAGUAGGGAAUCGUCCGCAAUGGGCGAAAGCCUGACGGAGCAACGCCGCGUGAGUGAUGAAGGUCUUCGGAUCGUAAAACUCUGUUAUUAGGGAAGAACAUAUGUGUAAGGAACUGUGCACAUCUUGACGGUACCUAAUCAGAAAGCCACGGCUAACUACGUG